CCCGCGGUAGCUCAGCCUGGUAGAGCGUCCGGCUGUAGACCGGAUGGUCGGGUGUUCAAAUCACCCCCGCGGGA
rnacentral:tRNA from 3 species